rnacentral:piRNA from 1 species
UGGUAGGCCAGGUUGGUCUUGGGUAAUGCA